rnacentral:rRNA from 1 species
AUUGAACGCUGGCGGCGUGCUUAACACAUGCAAGUCGUGCGGUAACAGGCGUAGCAAUACGUGCUGACGAGCGGCGAACGGGUGCGUAAUACAUGGGAAUCUGCCUAUUAGUGGGGGACAACCCGGGGAAACUCGGGCUAAUACCGCAUACGCUCUACGGAGGAAAGCCGGGGACCGCAAGGCCUGGCGCUAAUAGAUGAGCCCAAGUCGGAUUAGCUAGUUGGUAGGGUAACGGCCUACCAAGGCGACAAUCCGUAGCUGGUCUGAGAGGACGACCAGCCACACCGGAACUGAGACACGGUCCGGACUCCUACGGGAGGCAGCAGUGGGGAAUAUUGGACAAUGGGGGCAACCCCUGAUCCAGCGACGCCGCGUGGGUGAAGAAGGCCUGCGGGUUGUAAAGCCCUUUCGGUGGGGAAGAAAAGUCUCGACCUAAUACGUCGGGACCUUGACGUAACCCACUAAGAAGCACCGGCUAACUCUGUGCCAG